rnacentral:rRNA from 1 species
CGUAGGGUGCGAGCGUUAAUCGGAAGUUACUGGGCGUAAAGCGUGCGCUAGGCGGUUUUGUAAGACAGAUGUGAAAUCCCCGGGCUCAACCUGGGACCUGCAUUUGUGACUGCAAGGCUAGAGUACGGUAGAGGGGGAUGGAAUUCCGCGUGUAGCAGUGAAAUGCGUAGAUAUGCGGAGGAACACCGAUGGCGAAGGCAAUCCCCUGGACCUGUACUGACGCUCAUGCACGAAAGCGUGGGGAGCAAACAGGAUUAGAUACCCUGGUAGUCCACGCCCUAAACGAUGUCAACUGGUUGUUGGGUCUUUACUGACUCAGUAACGAAGCUAACGCGUGAAGUUGACCGCCUGGGGGAGUACGGCCGCAAGGUUG